rnacentral:rRNA from 1 species
GAUGAACGCUGGCGGCGUGCCUAAUACAUGCCAGUCGAGCGAACGGACGAGAAGCUUGCUUCUCUGAUGUUAGCGGCGGACGGGUGAGUAACACGUGGAUAACCUACCUAUAAGACUGGGAUAACUUCGGGAAACCGGAGCUAAUACCGGAUAAUAUUUUGAACCGCAUGGUUCAAAAGUGAAAGACGGUCUUGCUGUCACUUAUAGAUGGAUCCGCGCUGCAUUAGCUAGUUGGUAAGGUAACGGCUUACCAAGGCAACGAUGCAUAGCCGACCUGAGAGGGUGAUCGGCCACACUGGAACUGAGACACGGUCCAGACUCCUACGGGAGGCAGCAGUAGGGAAUCUUCCGCAAUGGGCGAAAGCCUGACGGAGCAACGCCGCGCGAGUGAUGAAGGUCUUCGGAUCGUAAAACUCUGAUAUUAGGGAAGAACAUAUGUGUAAGUAACUGUGCACAUCUUGACGGUACCUAAUCAGAAAGCCACGGCUAACUACGUG